GUGCUCGCUUUGGCAGCACAUAUACUAAAAUUGGAACAACACAGAGAUUAGCAUGAUCCCUGCACAAGGAGGACACACAAAUUUGUGAAAUGUUCUGUAUUAAA